AACCGACGCAGAGCAAGGGAACAAAUGUGGAGCCAAUGGGAGAAAAAGGCAGAGAGGGAAACACUUCCAUAAACACAUGAAAGAAAUCCUCAGCUCCCAGUGCGGCGGCACAGAGAUGAAGUGGUUCCUCUUCAAGCCACAGCCGUUACACUCGACCACAGGAGUUAGCAGAGCUGACUCAGCCCAAAGGAGAGUGAGGCCGUGGUGCUCAGCCCAGUAACGGUGGGUUUCUACCUUCCAGCCAGGCUGACUGAAUGGUGGAGGUCGAAGAUAAG